UAGGGUUUUAAGGCAACCUUAAUAUUACAAUUACUUAAGAUUCUCUUGAUUGGUUCUGUGACACCUUGAAUGUAUGGAACUAUUGCAUAACCCUUAACAGAGGUAUCACCCUCGGAGUUAUUGCACGAUUGCAAUUUUAGAUCACCCCUGAUGACGACACUAGACUGGAGUGUCGAAACGUUGGGCCGUCUUGAUUACAAUACGACUGGGCUUUGUAAUCAUUUAUUUAAACCAGAGUAGCGAGCGAAACACGAAUAUUAGGGAAAUUUAUCUUUGGAUGUGGAAGCACUGACUAAACAAACAUGGCGUCC